CGGGUGAGUAAUGCUUGGGAAUCUAGCUUAUGGAGGGGGAUAACUACGGGAAACUGUAGCUAAUACCGCGUAGAAUCGGGAGAUGAAAGUGUGGGACCUUCGGGCCACAUGCCAUAGGAUGAGCCCAAGUGGGAUUAGGUAGUUGGUGAGGUAAAGGCUCACCAAGCCGACGAUCUCUAGCUGGUCUGAGAGGAUGACCAGCCACACUGGGACUGAGACACGGCCCAG
rnacentral:rRNA from 1 species